CCCUUAGAUGUCCUGGGCCGCACGCGCGCUACACUGAGUGUCUGAGAUACGAGUCUGCCUGGUCCGGCAAGGUCUAGGUAAUCGCUAAAAGACACAUCAUGCUUGGGAUAGAUUAUUGCAAAUAUUAAUCUUGAACGAGGAAUUCCUAGUAAGCGUAAGUCAUCAGCUUGCGUUGAUUACGUCCCUGCCCUUUGUACACACCGCCCGUCGCUACUACCGAUUGAAUGGCUUAGUGAGGCCUCCGGAUUGGCUUUGGGGAGCCGGCAACGGCACCUCAUGGCUGAGAAGUUGGUCAAACUUGGUCAUUUAGAGGAAGUAAAAGUCGUAACA
rnacentral:rRNA from 1 species